rnacentral:rRNA from 1 species
AUUGAACGCUGGCGGCGUGCUUAACACAUGCAAGUCGAUCGGUAACGCGGGGGCAACCCUGGCGACGAGAGGCGGACGGGUGAGGAACGCUUGGGAAUCUGCCCUUCAGCGGGGGACAACACGGGGAAACUCGUGCUAAUACCGCAUACGCUCCACGGAGGAAAGCCGGGGACCGCAAGGCCUGGCACUGAAGGAUGAGCCCAAGUCGGAUUAGCUAGUUGGCGGGGUAACGGCCCACCAAGGCGACGAUCCGUAGCUGGUCUGAGAGGACGAUGAGCCACACUGGGAGUGAGACAAGGCCGAGACUCCUACGGGAGGCAGCAGUGGGGAAUAUUGGAAAAUGGGGGAAACCCUGAUCCAGCGACGCCGCGUGGGUGAAGAGGGCCUGCGGGUUGUAAAGCCCUUUCGGUAGGGACGAAAGCUCUCGACCUAACACGUCGGGAGGUUGACUUAACCUACAAAAGAAGCACCGGCUAACUCUGUGCCAGCCGCCGCAGUAAUAC